GACGAACCGUGCGAACGUUGUUCGGAAUCACUGGGCUUAAAGGGCGCGUAGGCGGUUGUGCAAGUCUGCGGUGAAAGCCUCCAGCUUAACUGGAGAAGUGCCGUGGAUACUGCAUAUCUUGAGGAGGGUAGGGGCAUCUGGAACAUUGGGUGGAGCGGUGAAAUGCGUUGAUAUCCAAUGGAACUCCGGUGGCGAAGGCGAGGUGCUGGACCCUUUCUGACGCUGAGGCGCGAAAGCGUGGGGAGCGAUCCGG
rnacentral:rRNA from 1 species